GCUACCAGGCAAACUCCUCCUCCGGGGAGGUUCCUUUAACUGAGAGCCAGCUGGCCUGGCCAUCGGUUUACUCCGGAGCAAUACCGGCAAUUGAGGAUUCCUCCCCAGGAGGCAGCUGCCUGUCAGGAUGGCUCAAGAGUUUGUGAACAGCAAAAUCCAGCCCAGGAAGGUGGUUGUGUUCAUCAAGCCCAACUGCCCCUACUGCAGAAGGACCCAAGAGCUCCUCAGCGAACUGCCCUUCAAACAAGGGGUUUUGGAGUUUGUCGAUAUCACGGCCACCAGUGACACAAGCAAGAUUCAAGAUUACCUGGAAACGCUCACAGGAGCCAGAACGGUACCUCGGGUCUUUAUCGGUAAAGAUUGUAUAGGCGGAUGCAGUGAUCUGAUCAAUAUGCAUCAGAGUGGGGAACUGUCGGACCGGCUAAAUCAGAUUGGAGCUCUACAGUAAGUCUAGAGCAGAUCCCAGGAUGAUAUCCCACUGAGAGCUGGAUGGCACUUCAAUGAUAACACACUUCCUGGUGGAUGGAUCUGCGACUAAAAUCCACAGCAACUGUUUACUUAAAAUUCUGAAAUAUAUGAACAAAAAAAAAGGGGGGGAUUUUUUUGGCGAAAAGAGCUUCCUCUUGUUUUGACUCAGUAUUAAAAGUGGACCAACUUGCCCCAACCCACAGGUCUGAGAAGGUUGAUGGAUAUCUUGGGUUUCUUCUCGAUUGGCCCUUUGGGUUCCAAAAGACCAUGACAAGUGAUGGCUUAGGAUUCACUCAAUGACCCAAAAAGUUGUCUUUCUCUUUGGCACAUGUCUGUUCCUAACUGUCCCAUAUGCUAGGACACCUCUACCUCUAAGCCAGUGUUUCUCAACUAAGUUUAUCCCAGGCCCCCCAGGAUGAAUCUGUAAUUGGUUUUCUGCUACUGCCUGAAAGGUACUUUGUUGAGUUUGACUUUACAGAAUUUGCAUUACAAAAACAAUAGGUCUUUUGAAUGUGCUUUUCCAAGCUACAUGGGUCUCCCAGGUCAUGAUCCCCAUCCCACCCCAUCUUAUCUUGAGAAUCACUGCUUGGAAUCAGUGUUCUUCACCUUGAUAAGUCACAGAUUCUCCUAGGAAGUGUUCAACAAUUCCUUGAAGAGUCUUAAGGAACUAAUUUGAGAAACACCACAUGAAAAUUUAAGCGUGGUUGGUCUUCACUUGAUGCCACAGAGAUCACAGCUGCUGCAAUCAUGGGCACCUCUGUUAUGUAAGAUGGUCGUCCAGCCGCCCUCCAGCUAUCAGCAGCGGGUCAAAGCGCAGCACUUGAGCGGCAAUGUGACACGCCUGGACCCCUCAGCUAGCGCAACGUGUGGUACGAAGAAUGGAAAUGUCAUCAGCACAGGGCAAGCUAAGUACAGGUGACUUCUGGUGAGCUGUGCAAAGCUGAAGGGGAGAAGAGAGGAAGGGGAAUUAGGAGAGCCAAUGAAAGUACAGAACGAACUUUGUGUCACCUUUCUGGGGUUGCACCCGGCACAACUGGGGUUUGGUUCUUUCGGGCUCUUCCUGCCCAGUCAAGGUCCUCCCUCCUUGCCAAUAGGACUGGAGCCUCUGGGUGCCCACGGCCGAGCUUUCUCAGGAAAGAGCAAAACCACUGCCUUCUCGAUUUUCUCUUGGGUGCCUUGUGAAACUUGGCAUACUUUAUAAGUAAAAUUACAGGUUGUUUUUAAGAUGGGGAUUUUCUGUGGCCUUUCCUUAUUAUUCUUUCAAGUCAUCCUGAGGAUCAGGUAUGAAUGUUCUUUAACACAAUCUGCCCUGACUUCUAACCAAAGGUGCCGAACAGGGACCAAAGGAUCUGCUCUGGGAAUGAAGAGCCGACAACUCCCGGGAAGUCAGAGAAUUCAGCCGGAAGCUGUGGCCACGAGGACUGUCCCCUCGCAUCUAGGAUGCAACCCCCAUGUGUGGCAAGAGCUGACUCGGACUGCCUUGAACCAGCCACUUGCUUGGAAGAUGCCACUCGCAAACCCAGUCACUGGAUGACUGGAGAGUGCCACAGAGCGCAAGGGAAGAAAAGGGUGGAUUACGGGCUGCCUCCCAAAAGGGCAGAAUGUGGGUAUAGCCUGAGACAGACAAAAUGCACACUAACCAGAAAGGAGCUGUGCUUCUUUCCCCAACCCAGGAAACCUGAGGCAGGCAGAACCGCUGGAGGGGAUAAAUGUGGCUCUGGGCCACUUCUGAGGACAACUUACCCCACCCAGGUAUGGCCCAAUGGCUGACAGACUGUCCCUAAUACAACCAGAAAAAUUCCCCUUGUCCAAAUGAAGGAUGGAGCAACGAAAGCAGAGUGCCCCUUCAAACACACCCUGAGCUGGCAAGAGAAGAGAAAUCCCCCUUUAUAGGAAUUUGAGGAGUGAGGGAUAUGUGUUCCCCACUAAUGAGAUCAUCUUCAGCAUCUUCUCUCCACUGGUUCUUCUCUGACUUCCGGAGAGUGGGCCCUGUGAGCUGUAGAGCCCUGGUAUGGUCUCAGGGCUAUUGAGAGGGUCCGAGAAUAUACACAGAUAUUCUCAUUUUCCACAGGUAUAUAUAAAGAGGUGCCUUUCCAUGUAUCUUUUACUGCAUCUGUUUUUUUCUAAUAUUUCAAUAAAGGUGAACAAUUGGUUUAUCCA